UACAGAGGGUGCGAGCGUUGUUCGGAAUUAUUGGGCGUAAAGGGCGCGUAGGCGGUUCGACAAGUUGGAUGUGAAAGCCCAGGGCUCAACCCUGGAAUUGCAUUCAAGACUGUCUUACUUGAAUUCGGUAGAGGUGAGUGGAAUUCCCAGUGUAGAGGUGAAAUUCGUAGAGAUUGGGAAGAACACCGGUGGCGAAGGCGGCUCACUGGACCGACAUUGACGCUGAGGCGCGAAAGCGUGGGGAGCAAACAGG
rnacentral:rRNA from 1 species